rnacentral:rRNA from 1 species
CAGUAGCCGCGGUAACACGUAGGGUGCGAGCGUUAAUCGGAAUUACUGGGCGUAAAGCGUGCGCAGGCGGUUUUGUAAGACAGGCGUGAAAUCCCCGGGCUCAACCUGGGAAUGGCGCUUGUGACUGCAAAGCUAGAGUGCGGCAGAGGGGGAUGGAAUUCCGCGUGUAGCAGUGAAAUGCGUAGAUAUGCGGAGGAACACCGAUGGCGAAGGCAAUCCCCUGGGCCUGCACUGACGCUCAUGCACGAAAGCUAGGGGAGCAAAUGGGAUUAGAUACCCCAGUAGUCCCUGUCUCUUAUAC